GAACCUUUGCGAACCGGUUGCUUAUCUGCAUAUUGUGGCCCUACCGUUCCCCCUCUCUCACAACAAAAAAAAUAGUAAAAUGAAAAGCGACACAGAACAAUGAAAUGAAUAAGGCAACCUUCACCGAACAAAGUGCGGCCUUCAACGUUCCACUUUUAUACUCACCGUAUCGCUAAUGAGAAUGGGAUUCAUUACCUAGGAAGUAAGCCAGGAGUCUAUCCUAAAAGAAACCACCAGAGAGGAGGCUGAAGAUAGCCACUGUUAUUUACAAAUCCGCAAACUGGAAACAGCCCAACUGUCCAACAGCAGGGAUCUGCUACCAAAAAGCCAUGAUCCAGCAGGCCUAUGGCAAGUUUCUGACCACAGAGGGAAAGCAUGCCUGCCAUUAGGAUGUGUGAGGAGCGACCCAGUCUGAAGCUCACCUUGCUCCGCAGUUCUUCAAUGGUCAGUCGGGACAAACACUGCUUAGGGACUGAGGGCACAUUCUGGCCCCUCAAGUGACCCCUGUGCCGAGCAGCUCAGCAGGAUCUCAACCCCAGAGGGACAGAGGGACCCGCCAGAUACUUGCCACCUGCCACAUGCUCCCUCCCCUCCGAGAAGCCACAGUCAGCCACCUCCUGAUCCCACAGGAGGUGCCUGACCCCAGGCCAGCCUCUGAGCCCUGGCCAACGAGUGGGGGGCCUACCCAGGCCAGCCCUCUGGUUUGGCUCUGGCAAGACAGCAGGCCCAGGGCCGUGCGAGCAGCAGACAGAGCAACACUGCAUCUAUCAGGCCAGCAGGCUCCACCAGGCCCGCCUGAGGCUGGGGGACGGGUCCUGUUCCCUGAGUACCUCCAGCUCCAAACACCCACUUAUCUGGCUUCUCUCUGUCCUUCACAAUCUGGAAGAGCCUCACUAAAGCCUUUGACACCAACAGAAACGCAGCUGUGGAAGUCCAAGGUCAUGCGGUGGUUGAGGGGCCUUGUCUAGAUGGACACUGCCCAGUGUCACACUGUGCACGCUCCACGAGGGAGGGGGAGGUCCCUUGGGGGAGGGGGAGCAAGUCAGUCUCAGCUGGUCCUGGAUGAGGAAGCCUCCACUGUGCUGAGAAACAGGGUAUAUUCUCUACUACACGGGCACUGUGCUCAGUGACUGGCUGCUGGGAAGCUCAGAGGGAUACGCAUGGUCAGUCCUGGUAAGGGUGCACCACCGCCCAUACUCCUGUACAAACCUCACUCUAGGUUCCAUUUUAUGGGUCUGCCCUUGGUUUUUUCUUUCACUCCCACUUUCCAUUGGUACCACUCUGACUCACUCCACAAAGUCUCCCUAAACUGCCUAAAAUCCCUCUGGAACGGGGCAGGAUGUAGGCAUGUAGAUCACAUUUUAUCAACAGAUCUCAAAGUACUUUGUAAAAAAACUUAAUGGGAUUAAACCCUAUUUGCUAGUGUAUGAAAUGUACAGGUGUAUAAGAGACAUCUCAGUUUGACAAGGAUUUUUUUUAGAUAAGUCUUUCUCUUUACAUGUAUACUGAAGGAGACUUUGUGGGGGAAACACAGUCAGCAGGCCCCUCCCCCCACUCCUCUAGCUCCACAAUCGCCACGCUGGCCUGGUACCGUGUUCUUUUUCAGCAUCUACCUUUUCCAGUUUAUACCUGAUGGUUCAGCAGCCCUCAAACUACUCUCGAAUCGCGGACAGGGUAAUAAUAAAUGGCCACGGUGAGCUGGACCAAGGGAGACCAUGCAGACAGAAGGCUCCACCUGGCAGAGGGCUCACAGCACAGGCGGGCGUGGGCCAGCACCCCCACCCCAGCCCGCCCGCCAGCCCGGGCCGCUCACCUUCAGGGGCUUUGUCCACUGUGUACCAGAGCUUGAAGCGCGCAGAGUGCUCAUUCCUUAGUUCCUCCAGCUCAGGCCGCAGUAGGAUGUCUUUCUCAGUCUGCGGGGGGCAGACAGGGCCCAGUGGUCAGGAGGGACAGCGACAGGGACUGCCCUUGGAGACCCUCGUCAUCCCACCCACCCAUGGGCCACACGCUUGGCAAAGCUUCCAGGGAAAGUCCAAGUCUUUUUAUGUUCUGGCAUCUCAGGCUAUAUCAAUAGGUCCAUAAUUUAGGAAAUAUAGAUGCGACUCCCCAAAUCACACAACCUGCAACCUUGCCCACAUCGAUCCCUCUGCUUGGCCUGCAGCUCCCCACCUUCAGCCCCACUGAUUUCACUCAGCCAGCCCCACGUGGUCCUGUAGAGUUCAGCUUGUGUCACCUCUUCCGGAAAGCCUUCCUAGACCCCCGGGGAGUGUUAGCAAUCUACUCCGGAAACAUCCCCUUUCCAUUCGUAAGCACAGACUUUGCCCGGAAUGUUUGCAGGUCACUCACAGACCUGGCUCCUCCGGUCAGUGGGCAGUAUGACGGACUCACAGGACUGUUGUGAAACUGGGGCCAAAGAGCUCCGUCAACCAGCAAAGGUCACCCGCUCACCGACCUCUCCUGAGCCCCGCGCUGGGAUAGGCAGGCAACGAGAGAGGCAUGGAAAUUGUUCUGAACAUCCUCCUUUGUGAACAUCUCUCUGACCGUCCUCAGUGCCCUGCCAAUUCCUUAGGAUCAACUUGAGGAAGUGGAGUCCAGGGCAGAAAAUUCCACAUGGUUAGGGCGUUCGAUACAAGCCGCUGCUUUAUUCCCCACGUAGGUUACAACCAACACAGAGGCCAGCAGGGAGUCCUGGGGUACUCACCCCUCUACACCUCUACCAGGACUGGGUAAUAAUCAUUUAAGCUUUGCCAAUCAGAUUGAUGGAAAGUAAAGCUUGUGUUUUAUCUUUUA